GCUCUCACAAGGGCUGCCGGGAGCUGCCAGGUCUCUUAAGAACAAAAGUGGCCGAUUGAGAGAAAAAAAAACCCAAAAAAGGCUUCUCUGUACCUCGAAGAUUUCGCUUAAUCGGGACCCGCCGAGCUGCUUCCGAUCAGCUGGUCUCAGGAACUGAGAUAAUUUCUCAAGCUCAUUUCUCAACGGAGAUCUGCAGGUUGAAAGUGGUUCCUUGAACAACCCCAGGCAAGCAGCAUCUCUCCUUUGCUCCCUGAAAAAAGAUAAAGCUGGGACUUCUGCCUAUUACUCUACAUCCAGCCGAGAUUUGGCACAGCAAUAAAUCGCAGCAGCCAUGGAGCUUUCUCCGCGUGACAAGAUCAAAAUGCCACUACAGGAGCAAGUCAACCUCAAGAAUAGCACCCACAGGCUCCCACAUCAUUCUAAUAUCUUGCUGGGAGAGACAGAAGGACCAGAUAGAUGCAAGUGGACAGUUUACAACUGCUAAUACUCAGGGACAAUCCCUAAAGGAGGAAGAGAGAGCUCCAAAGUUUGCACUCAUUGACAUUUCACAGUGAAGCUGCACACACAGAAUAUGCAUGAGAAGAGACAUUUAGAGGUGAUUCUUACCAAGCACUGAAAUCCCUUUUUAAAAGAACCGAAAAAGACUUUUUCUGGAACACUUUUGCUGGACAAGACCCAAUUCCUCUGGCAUCAACAUGAAGAAAUGCAGACUCUCUCAAAGCAGCCCAAGCCACAAAGCAUUGUAGGGCUGGCACGUCCAAAUCCACUCUGAAGUCAUGGACUUAAAAAAUCACUGUUCACCCCAAAACACUUUCUGAUCUAUAGUACUUAGUGCAAACCAAACAGAACAGUGACGACCGAGUAGCAGAGAUCCAAGAAACCUGUGGGAUUCACAUAAGAGGUGGCACUGAUAUAAGUCUAAUGAGGAGCUGCUGACCAUAGGAAAUACUCUGAUGAAGUGCAAGUUCACAUGGAGCAUGUUGCCAACAGAGACUGGGCAGUCUCCAGCUCUUAAGACCCAACUGGAUCAAGUCCUGAGCAACCCUGUCUGAUCUCAGAAUUGACCCUCAUGUGAGCAGGAGGUUGGAUGAGAGACUUCCUGAGGUCCCUUCCCAGCUGUUUUACCCCUAAUACUAAUAUGGAGGUUGGGAUUCAGUUCUCAAGUGGAGACGUCUAAAGUCAGGCAUUUAGUCCAUGCCAUGGAAAAAAGAGAUAUUCCACCUUAUUUUAAGGAAGGUUGGAAGAAUUUACCAUGGGGGGUACCCCUCUCUCAUCAUUCACCAAAAAAAACACAACCUGCUUAGACUCAGACAACUAACUGAGACGUCUACAGCAGGGAGUAAAUGCCACCAGGCCACUCAACCCACCAGUGGAAGAACCAAUAUCCAGUUUCCCCAGCUUGAGAGAUUCAUACCCAAACCUUUCAGGAACUUCCCAGUCACCAUGGAGGCAGCGCUAUGGCUCUUCAUUCUUCUUCCCAAAACUCAGAUGCUGAGUGGUGGAGAUGGAGCCCACCUGGCAACUUGGGAGGAUAUGAAGCUGGCCCCAGCCCCUAAUUUGCAAAUUAUCUUUUUUAUUCAGUUUUACUUGAAGCCGGUGACUCUCUCAUGCAAAAUACAUAAAUGGAUUUGCUCUUGCUGCAUUAUACUUGACUCAUUAUUUAUGGGUGGACUUUGCCUUUCCUCACAUCGAUAACUGCCAUUCACAUGAGCAGCUCCUUUAAAAGAAGGAUUUGCAUGAAAAUCAGCCUAGCAGGGCUGCGAGCCCAAACAACCUGCCAACAUAGGGGCAGUCACUGCUCAGGUGCUUCAUGAAGUACCACAAGCGCUACAAAAA